rnacentral:rRNA from 1 species
CCCUUAGAUGUUCUGGGCCGCACGCGCGCUACACUGUUUGAUUCAGCGAGUCUUAACCUUGACCGAAAGGUUUGGGUAAUCUUCUAAAGUCAAACGUGAUGGGGAUCGAUCAUUGCAAUUAUUGAUCGUGAACGAGGAAUUCCUAGUAAAUGCAAGUCAUCAGCUUGCGUUGAUUACGUCCCUGCCCUUUGUACACACCGCCCGUCGCUACUACCGAUUGGGUGUGCUGGUGAAAUGUUCGGAUCGGCCGUUUGUCGCGGUUUCCGCGUCAUGUGGCUGAGAAGUUCAUUAAACCCUCCCACCUAGAGGAAGGAGAAGUCGUAACA